CGAGAACCGACACUUGUAUGGAGUGAAGUGCACCGAUGAUUUGAGUGACGGCGCGAAAACAUUGUUUUGUGAGCCAGUCAUCAUAAUAUGAUGCAGAAACUGCUAUUACAAGAUGGAGCGGUGCCAACUAUAUUGGAUCCACCAACAAUCCUACGACCCUGCUGUUGUUUGUUUUUCAAUGGACGCUCAUGGACAUUUUACCCAAGAGCGAUGGAUUGGAAUCCAUGUCGCGAUCGCUAUUUCACUGCAAAGGUCUGCCUAGACAGAGGAAGGAAAAGACUCCAGGGCUCACCUACCAUGCUCCAAAGCCUGUUGUUUUUGGAAAAAUCAAUAUCUGAAAGGUGCAAGGUGGAUUUCUCCCAGCGCUUCAUGGAUCGCUGACUACUCAUUUAGCAUGUGUUUAACCAGAUUCAAUUGGAAGCACAUGGUUGCAGAGAAAUGAGCUUGGAGAGGUGACCCCUUUAACGGCUAAAGUUUCUGAAAGGAAGAAAAAGCAGGAAAGUGGAAUCUGGUUGGCAUGAGGAGAUGGCAUGUGUGUGUGUGUGGGAUUGAUGUGGUGGGUGAAAAUGGGAAGGUGUUGGUCAGUCAAGUGGGAAAAGUCUUCAGUUUUCCAUUUCAUCAAGCAAUAAAACCCCCAAGCCCUUGUGGCCUUUAUCUGUGCUGUGAUCUAAGCACAUUAUAAGGCUGAAACUCAAUGUUGAGAAAGCAGCUGGAGGAAGUGAUGAUUACUACAGAAAGUCCUGGCAAAGUAAUGAGAAAGUAGCACCGGAUAACAUCAAAACCAAUUAAGUCCAUCCAGGUUCAAUUCAACCUUGAAAAAUUUUCAACCUGGUUUCAUUUAUCUAUUUUGAAUCCUGUCCAAAUUUACGGAUUAAUCUGCUUUAAAAUACAGGGGGAAUUCACUGAGAAUUAAAACGCAGUGUGCCCACUGAUUGUUUAUUUGCAUGCUGUCUGCAUUGUUUUAGUGCCCAAUUCACUAAACGAAUUAUGCAAAUCUAGGUAAAACAGCAAACAUGCUCCCCAAAAUGUAUUUUUAAAUUGCUGGUACACAGUUGUGGAGAAUGCAGCAGUCUGUCACAAUCUGGCAUACUUUUCUGGAACCGUAGCAUCGCUCCACCACUGUGACCUCUUUAAAAGGCCAAAAUGUGCUUGUUUUUUGAAAAUAUGCCUGGUUAUUACUCUUUUCUCCAUCAUUUGAUCUUUAUUUGGUGAAUUAAUGCUGCCAUGAACAACAUAAAAUGUAAACAAACAUCUUUUUAAUAAAAUUCUCUUUACCUCCUGCUGUCUGUGGGUGAUAAUGGCACUGCAUUUUGUAAAUAAGGCACAAUCUAUAAAUAAUAAGACUAAUUUACAUAGAAAGAGGCGUAUUUGUGCUGUAAAGAAUGACAGUGACUUGAACUGAUUUUACCACUGAUACUGGCUGGUUGAAGUAGAUAGCGUCUGGUUAGUGAAUAAGAUAUAGGAAUGAAAUGCUAUGCAACUAUACUAUAUAGUCUCAUUUAAUUCUGAAUGCUAUCUUACAAACCCAGGACUUGUGAUGUUACUGCGAUAACUAAUGUGGAUUUUUUUUUUUGUCAGUUAAAUGAGCUGGAGGAUGACUCAAAUGAAUGACACCUUUAAUUGAUGCAGUGACUGGGGACUCAUGUGCCGCAUAGUCAGAUGGGUGUGAAAAGACUGAGGGACAGAGAAAGAGAGAGAAGUGUUGCUGCUGUUUUCCCUAAGCAUGAAAAAUGAGACUGAGUCCAUCUCAACCAUAUUAUCCCUCUCCCAAAGUGCUUUGUGGACAGCCAUUCAUCUUUCUGUAUCUCGCCCUCUUUAUCUGUCACUCCUGUCUCAUCUCUACACCUCUCAUCUUGCUCUGCUCUCCUCCUCCACCUGAAUACAAUUUGCUGAAACUUUACCAAAGCAACUUGGGGCCUGUAACUCAUCUUCAUUGGCUCAGAUCACUGAACGUCAAGUCACACAUCUCCAUUGUCUAAUCAUCAACGUUACCUUCAGCUUCGUAAUAGCUCUGGCAGACCUGUUACAGAUGUAGUGUUUAAUGACAAACAGUAAUCAGGAGGGAAUUGGUGACGCAUUUAAUCUCUGGUUUUACAGCUUUGUCCAUGGAUGAUUUUAUCCCCUAAGGCAGAUUCUUACGAGCUCACUUACUCAGCCUGACAGAAAGCGAUGUCAGAACAGCAUGAUAAAAAAAGCACCGCACUGGGGAAGAGGGGGAAAAAAAUCACAAUUCCGCAUUGUAUCUCAACGACAACCACCGGGUAGAAUUUUCUUUGAUGGCAACUCGUUUCUUUUUUAUGUUUAAAUUCAAUGAUUGAAUAAAAAUGAACAUUAGAAUGUGGAUAAAUGAAGUCUCAAUUUGAACUUUCCUCUAUAACUCAUUAAAAUAUUAGUUCAAGUAAAGGCAUGCGGUUAACACAGUAUGGAAAUCAUUAAUGGCCUGUCCAGUAUUAUACCUCUAAAGUCGUUUUACAUCAGAAAAAUUCACCAAUGAUAAAUAUUUCAGUUUAAUCAUGUAAUGUAAGGAUCUUUUUGUGUGUGUGUGUGUGUGUGUGUGUGUGUGUGUGUAUGUGUGUGUUUUGGAUCAAGAAUGUAUUAAAUUGAUCAAAAGUGACAAUGAUGACUUGAAUUAAUCUUAAUUAUGUCAGAUAACACUUAAGCAAAACAUGAUCAGGUCAAAGUGUCUGAAUAAUUUUUGGUCCCAAAUUUUCAUCAAUUUUACUGGUAGUCCACUGUACGAAGAAUUUUUGGGUAUAAUAUGUCACAGUUUAUUUUGCUAUCCUCACUUACAUAAAUGAACAAUAGUGUCCUGCACCCACUAGUAAAUAAAUAUAAAAAAUUAUAUCUAGUGUCUGAAUAAUUUUUGGUUUGACUGUAUGUGUGUGUAUAUAUAUAUAUAUAUAUAUAUAUAUAUAUAUAUUCCAUUAUAAAAAUAAAUAAAUAUCUGAAUAUACUGUUUAUUUUUGUUUCAUUAUUUAUAUUGCACUACCAUUACACAGAGGAACAGGAAUUCACUGUAGGCCUAGAUGUUAUUUAUGCAGCUCAGUUUGUGGUUCUCUGUGUAGCCAUCAGUGAAUUUUAAGCAUAUUUGUUUUUAGGUGGGUAUUUGUGGAUGCUUGUGUGUGAGGGUGUACAUUAUUAAUAUGAAAUGAGAAAUGGAGGGAAUAUUGGAAAAUAUUCCUCUGUUAUUUUGUUUCUCCAUUGUUCACCACUCUUAUCUGAAUUUGUGGCAGGCAAGAGCUCUGCAAGUGUCUCCUGUUCACAUCCGUCAAGUGGUAUUUGGACAACACCCAUCCAAGAGAGCAAGAUUGUGUGUUCACACCUUGCCUGCUUUACUGUAAUCUUUGCUGACUUUGUGGGGAAGGCUGGCUUGAAAGCCUCCCAUCUUCCCCACUGGCAGCUCCUCCAUUACCUACAAAGUGCUUCAUCUCUCUCCGCUGAGGCUGGGUCUACUGUGCUACUUCUGAUUAAUGACUGUGCCAUUCCAGCUCAAUUUAUUACCAUACAUUUCACCAUGCAAUACAAUCCAGCACAUUCACCCUGUAUGGAGGUAUUAACAUUGUGCCAUGAUACUUGACACUGUAAUAGUGAAAAUUAUAAGAACUUAUUUGUCUGGCAUUUGAGACAAAUCCAUUAGGUUGACUUGAAUAAUAGCUGAGCUGAAGCUGAGGUACAACCUACUGCCCCUCGGGUGCAUAUAUGAACACAUUUAAUAGUCAAAAGAGCAUUAUAUAAUAAUAAAGUCCUCGAGGAUCAGAAAAUAGCUGACAGCGCUGAAUAGAAACGAUCAAACUGUGAUAUAUCAUACAUUACCUGAAUGAUAUAUACAAUACUAUGGGUGUAGAAUAUUGAAGAUAAACAUAAAUGUUCUCUUUUAUGAGAGAAAAGUCACAAAUAGAGAAUGUUUGUCAGCGGUUUUGUGCCUCACGGGAUCAGCGCUAAUUGUUGGAACGCAGGAUAGCUUAACAGGCAGAUUGUGAUGUGUGAAAGUAUGUCCUUAUUAAGCUCUCCACAUUCACUGUGUCUGAACAAACAUGCUUGGACUUCUCACCCUCAACUAUUUAUUCUGUUAAAGUCAGCUUUUUUCCAAUCUUCACAGUUCGCUAGACAAGACUCAUCUUGCACUUGUGGAAUCUGACUAAGUCUCUGCUCCCACAGUCCUGCCUCCGCUUUCCAACAUCCAAACAUGCAGAACUGCCUCAUCACCUGUUGUUCGUCUUUUACUUUCUAGCUGUGCUGGCAUUUUUGCUCAUUCUCUGCCAAGAACAGCAGCACUUUUACCCAUUUUUUCAUUUGUUCCCACUCAGAUAAGGCAUAUUGUUGAUAUUGUUCGUUGAAGCUUACUGUAUUAUGUAGAAGAGUAUUGUGAGAAAGAGAUCGAGUGAGCGAGUUUAUUACUUGCAUUCAGAUUUAGCAUUUUCCUUCAGGUCAGUCCUAUGUUCAUAAUAAAAAAUCUGUUUAAAUGUCCGAUGUAUUAUCUUGUCCUUUUAUCAGUUAAGGGUUUUUCCCUUGACUGACAGCGCUAGUCAAAGCAUUUGUCAGUUGCGUCUUGUUCCGUGUUCACAACAAUUCGGUCUUUUCAAUAUAAAAGUCUUCGCUACUGACUGACACACUCAUAAAGACAGUCUUUGCCGCCAUCUGAUGGCGUAAUAAUGUAACUUCUGUUGCUGUUCACGGUCAGGGACUAUUUUUUCUGG